rnacentral:rRNA from 1 species
GACGAACGCUGGCGGCGUGCUUAACACAUGCAAGUCGAACGGAAAGGCCUGCUUUCCCUUGUGGAUUGCGGGUACUCGAGUGGCGAACGGGUGAGUAACACGUGAGUGAUCUGCCCCCAACUUGGGUAUAAGCCUGGGAAACUGGGUCUAAUUCCCGAUAGGACUGCAGGGUGGUGCCUGUGGUGGAAAACGAUUUUCUAGUGGUUGGGGAUGAGCUCGCGGCCUAUCAGCUUGUUGGUGGGGUAAUGGCUUACCAAGGCGGCGACGGGUAGCCGGCCUGGGGGAGUGGACGGGCACAUUGGGACUGAGAUACGGCCCAGACUCCUACGGGAGGCAGCAGUGGGGAAUAUUGCACAAUGGGCGGAAGCCUGAUGCAGCGACGCCGCGUGGGGGAUGACGGCCUUCGGGUUGUAAACUCCUUUCGACCGCGAGGAAGCCACCUGGUUGGAAGGGUGGUGACGGUAGUGGUAGAAGAAGCACCGGCUAACUACGUG